UACGUAGGGGGCAAGCGUUGUCCGGAUUUAUUGGGCGUAAAGAGCGUGUAGGCGGCCAUACAGGUCCGUUGUGAAAACUGGAGGCUUAACCUCCAGACGUCGAUGGAAACCGUAUGGCUAGAGUCCGGAAGAGGAGAGUGGAAUUCCGGGUGUAGUGGUGAAAUGCGUAGAGAUCCGGAGGAACACCAGAGGCGAAGGCGGCACCCUGGCCUAAUACUGACACUGAGACGCGAAAGCAUGGGGAGCGAACGGG
rnacentral:rRNA from 1 species